CCUGCCCCUAGAGGCAUUGUAGGUGUGGCUGCUGUGUCACAUGAGCGUCAGUAGGUGGCAGAGAAGAGAGAGGCUAUGUCUAUGCUCAGUGUUCUGCUCUGAACUGAAUGAUUACUAGUCUAACACG